ensembl:misc_RNA Metazoa_SRP Metazoan signal recognition particle RNA
GCCGGGCGCGGCGGCUCACGCCUGUAAUCCCAGCACUUUGGGAGGCUGAGGUGGGUGGAUCACCUGAGGUCAGGAGUUUGAGACCAGCCUGGCCAACAUGGUGAAACCCCAUCUCUA